rnacentral:rRNA from 1 species
GUGCCAGCAGCCGCGGUAAUACGUAGGGUGCAAGCGUUAAUCGGAAUUACUGGGCGUAAAGCGUGCGCAGGCGGUUUUGUAAGUCUGUCGUGAAAGCCCCGGGCUUAACCUGGGAAUUGCGAUGGAGACUGCAAGGCUUGAAUCUGGCAGAGGGGGGUAGAAUUCCACGUGUAGCAGUGAAAUGCGUAGAGAUGUGGAGGAACACCGAUGGCGAAGGCAGCCCCCUGGGUCAAGAUUGACGCUCAUGCACGAAAGCGUGGGGAGCAAACAGGAUUAGAUAC